GGUGUCGAUCUCUCAAUAAAAUAUAAUCUCUCAAACAAUAUACUCAUUCUACAAAGUCAACUAAAGAUACAUUAUUUGAUUAUAAUUAUAAAAAUAUAGAGUGUAUAGAAUCUCUUGCAUAUAAUAAUACAGUCAUAGAUUUUGUGUAACGGUUUCGCAUUAUUUAUAAUUAAAUGCUUUAUUCUCAAACGGUCAUAUUUACUGUCGAACUCAAAGUGUAAAACGUGUGAAAUACAGUGUGAACUCAUAAUCAACAUUGGAUUGUCUAAAAUAAGCAUUACAUUACGUGGGAUACGAGUCACAGAACGGAAAUCGUUGACAUCACCAUAGUAUCAAUUGAGAAGAUAGGAGAGGCUGAAAAAUUGGUUUUGAUAGGUAAUGAUUACAAAUACUAAGAUUUAUUCAUGCUACUAAAAUCUCAACACAACAAUAAAGAUACAUCCUCAAGCAACAAGACAAUCCAAGAAAGCUUUAUCACAUUCAUAACAAUAAAGAAGUACAAUGAUUUCCUAAGGAUAAUGUAGAUGAAUAUUAGAACAUCUAAUUGCAAAGUGGUAAUAGUAGAGGAUUUUAAUGUCAAACACAAUAAUUGGGGUUUUCCCAUUAACAAAGCCAAGGGAAAGGACCUAUCGGAGCUUAUGCACUCUCUUAGCCUUAUAAUAUGUAAAGAAAGUUACAAACAUACGUGUCAAUGAAGCUAUUCAAAAUCUUUUAUUGGUGUGACUAUAGCCUCUGCCAACUUAGUGUCGAAGAUAAUCACCUGGAAAGUUAUCAAAAAAGAAUCUCAUAGCGAUCAUAAAUACAUAGAAUUUACGAUUGAAACACAACGUCAACUUGAAAAAAUGAAAUACACGGAAGAUCAAUAAAAAACAAUUAUAGGAAGCCAUAAUUAUAGGAAACGGUCAAAUCUUCACCUUUCCUAAGACUCAGUGUACUAUAGGGAGGGUAGAAAAAAUUUUAAAUGGUCUUUUUCCCAAAUACGAACGAAGAAUGAAAAACUUGUCAGGGAAUGACAAAAUAACAAAUGAAGAAUUAUUAAGAGCAGGAGUACAGUUAAAAAUAACAAAGCACCAGGUCCAUACCGUAUUACAAAUUAAAUAUUUAUAGACAAAGUACUGGAUUUUUCUUAAGAAUAUAUAAUAAAUGCAUCAACGAAGGAAUCUUCCCAGAGGCAUGGAAAAAAGAAAAUUUCACUAAGAGAUAAAUGAAUAGUCAAAAAAAUUAAUGAUAGGAAAAUUUACACAAGAUAUAUAGAACGCGUUUACUCGCCAAAUUUGGACAUAAUCUUCGAAGCAGUCAUAAGCACACACACCAAAGAAUACUCAAUAGCUAUUUUGCAGAUAACAGAAUAUAGUACAAUGCAAGUGGAAGCAGAAGUUAGCAGUGGAGUGCCACAUGGUUCUAUACUGAGCUUAACAAUGUGGACUUAAUGGGUUUUUACAAGUCAACAUGUCAUUGAACGAUGAACUGCUGGCGUUUGCAGGUGAUGUUGCAGCAAUUUGAAAGGCCAAAUAUGCAUGCGAAAUUAAGGACAAAAUAAAGGUAACGACUGCAUUAAUAUGUAAAUGGCUCGGAAAAACCGAACUAGAACUCGCUGUUCAUAAAUUAUAGAUAUUAAUUAUAACCAACAGGAGAACACAUAACCAAGUAAAAAUAACGUUAAGGUAGAGAUGGCAAGAACGGAGAUAGAGUCUGUUAGUAGUUUGAAAUAUCAAAGCCUGAAGAUCAACAGCAAACUCAACUUCAAAGAACACGCAAUGGAAAUAGCGAUAAGGCUAGGUGCUACUAUUAAGACAUUAUCUAAACUAAUGUGAAAAAUGUUGGCAACGAUAGCAAGGUCGAUUAUCCUAUAUGGAAAAUCUAUAUGGUUACAUCGUAUGUGUAAAAGGGAAUACGCAGUUCUAGAAAAGUGCAAAAGAACCAUGACACUAAAGAUUAGGUCUGCAUAUAGAACGGUUUCAAAUGAAGCGGCGCUGAUAAUAGCGGAGUUACAAAUAGCAGAUCUGGCGGUCAAAGAAAGGAGAUUUAUAUACGAACAAAUCAAAGAAGGAAGAAAAAGAAAGCUGAAUAUUUAUACAGAUUCGAAAAGUUGCAGUCUCCAGUAUUGAUAUUGUCAGAACAGUUGCGAUAAUGCUCUUCAUACAAAACAUACAAAUAAAUACAUAAUUGUAAAAUUAAUAUCUUCUGAGCUUAGCAUCAAAACUAAAAAUUAAUAAAUUUCAAUUUCAAAAUAAUCCAUAUAACUAAAUUGGCAUUAAAAAUAGCUUCAUUAAAUAUUUUCAUGCGGUCGCAUCGCAUUUCCGGCUUUACUGUUGGAUACCGACUGCGACACCUCUUCUUAUUCAAUAGAUCGCACGACCCCUAGUCACUUCAGGUAACGCGAAACGGUCCAGCAAAAGACGACGGUCUGAACACAUCUUUACGGAAUCCAAACUGUGGAUAUACUUAUGCGACUUUUCUUGUCAAUAUAAAUAUUUUAAGUAGCUACAUUCUUUAGUAUUAUCUAAUUAAAUAGUUCAUUACCCAGUAUUAUUUAUUUACUAUAAAUAAACCUCGACACCCUCAAUCUUUUUAAAAAAUGUUUACAUAAUAUAAUUAUAUAAAAACAACAUUUAUAUAUUCUAAAGAUUUCAUUUCAUAUUUAUUACAAUAUCAUAGGGUGAAAUUUCAACCUUAUUUUAGUUUUUCGUUCUUGAAUAUUUUUUUAAAAACUGAUAAUAGCUGAUUUUGAUAUACCUCAAUUAGGGAAGUAUAAUUUUUACUCUAUGGACUACAGUUAUCAAUUAUAAUAAGAUUAACUUAUACUACAAAAAAAUUUUAAAUAAGCUCAAUAAAUAUUUUAUUUUAUUAUAUAACACAAUGAUAAUUUAAGAUGGGGUUUUGAGCUUGGGUGGCUAAACCUCUACUCAAAAAUUAAAUUAGUUCCGCCAAAAAUUCAGUAUAUUUUGAUAUAUUUUUAAAAGAAAAAAAUUCAAAUUGGUACCACAAACAUGUCUUUCUAACGUCGUCUAUACCAUUUGAUAGUAAUAUUAUACAGACAGAUCUGUUUAUCAUAAACCACUUAAUUUUUAUUUAGGUUUAUACAUAUUUUAUAAUUUAUCAGCUAAACAUUUUUUUAGCAUCAUCCCUUACAACUUAUAAGGAUGAAACUAAAUAAUAACAUACAUAUUUGACUAGUUUAUAAAAUAGAAAAUAACGGGUCGAUAAUAAUUUUGGAGCGCCUAAUUCGAAAAUUAUUAACAUUUAUAAAUGUUAAUGAAAGGAUAAGUGUGACAGAGAAAAGCUUGAUGAUAUAAGUAGUUAUUACCGUGUCUCUUCCAAGUCUAUAUUUUAAAAUAGCUAUAAUUUCUACAAUACAGGUCCAAAAGUUGUUAUCGAUUUGUCAUUUUCUUAAUUAAAUUAUUUUGUGUAUUAUAAACUAGCCAAAUAUGUGCAUUGCCAGUUAAAAAAAUUAAGUUCUUACCCAUAUUAGUUAUAAAAAAUAAUGCUUAAAUAAAAAAGUAAUUAGUAACUGAUCAAUAAAAAAAUAUAUGUAACUAAAAAAAAAUUGUAUUUAUUUUGCUAGUAACUUAGUACUUUAUGAUAAACAGAUUUUCUUGAAUAAUACCAUUAUAAUCGUUCAUAAAAUUGUUUAAUACAACAUUUUCAAGUGUAACACCAAUGAUAAUUUUUGUGAUGUUUUAAUUUAACAAUUGAAGAGCUCAAUGCAACAACCAGGUUCAUAUUUAGAACUUUUUUAAAAGAGUCUUACAAUUUACUAAACAAAUUUACAUUAAUAGAAAUGAUAGAAAGGUUUUCUAUAUUGAAUAUUUUUGCAAAUAAUCCAAGUAUAUAAUCCGUUUUUGUAUUGUUAUACACAGAAAAGUAAUAAAUAAAAUUCUUAAAAAAUUAUUUUUUAAAAAUAUGAAUUUGCUUUUUUGUUAUUGUUCCGAGCUCUUCAAUUACACUAAUAUUUUUAAUACUGCUUUAUAAUUUUUAUAAUUACUUAUUGAUAUUAUCAUUAAUACUGCUGGUACACCAAAUGCUAAGGGGAAACAAGAAUCUUUUCCAAAACAUUGUAUGUCUUUUCGGAGUUCUGGAGUCAAAAAUGUUGAGAUUAGAGAACCAGCGUUGAUGGAGAAGUAAAAUAUCGAAAAAAAUUUUUGAAGAUAAGCUUCUUGAGCUGGAAGAAUAAAUUGGUCACCUCCAAAUGAUGACACACAAGGUUUAAUACCACCAGUUCCAAUAGCUAUUAAAAUUAAGCCUAGCAAUGCAAGAUUUCUAAAAAAAUGCAGACAAAAAUCUUAGUUCAAUUUUAUGUUAUUUAAAUACAGUGUUUAAAAUUCAAAAUAUUGUUUACAAAACAAACUACUUUUGUAAGAUGUCAAUAAUAAGUCUUUAACAUUUUUUUUAUACAAAGGCGGUAGAAAGGCUGAGAGAUGAAUAGUAUUAAAAAUAAUAAUACCCGCGUCUGACCUUCAGUCAUUACUUUAAUUUGUUAAUAACUUCUGAACUACUGGAACAUAAGUUGUUAUUAACAUUUUAUAUUAAUUGUUUCAUUGUAGAAGUUAUACACAUGUUAUAAUUAUAUAUUCACUUAAUUACAUCUUUCUCUAUAUUACGAGUUAAUAUAAUAUACGUAUAUAUUGCUAUUUAAAAAAAAGUUAAGAUUUUAAAACGUGACAAUUUAUUUUUAGUGCAAUGUUUUAUUUAAAAUGUAAAGUAGCCCUAUUUUAUAAUAUCUAUUGUAAUUUUAUUUAUAAUUACGUUUAAAUACUGAUAAUCAUCGUACAGUGACGUUUACAAUGUUUCACCUUAAAAAGGAAAUAUAUACAAAAAAAACUUUACUAUCCCCUAAAAAAUACAGUUUUACCAUACAUUUAUUUUCAUCACGGAAAGAUUCUAUGUUCCAUACCCUAACCUGUAAAAUGUCUAUGUCAACGUGCAAAUAAAGCAUAUUUUAAUUGCAAAUGUAUUUUUUUAAUUUUAAAUUUAAUUUU